AAAAAGAUAAGCUAAUAAAGCUAUUAGGUUCAUACCCUAAUUAUAGAAGUUAUAAUCUUCUUCUUUUUA
rnacentral:tRNA from 1 species